rnacentral:sRNA from 1 species
AGCCAAGCCAUUUGACCGGACAGACCCUU